GAGAAUCUUCCAGUGGAUCGCUCUGUACAGAACAUUCAACAUAUAUUUGGUGAAGCUGGGAAUUUGCAUUAUGCUAAUUAUACAAAAUUUCAGAAUAAAGAAUAUCUGCAUUUAUGAUUCACAUGCUGUGGAAGAUUCAGAAAAAGGAAGCAAACCCGAUAUUCUGAUCUGUAGCAAGGUAUGAAACUUAUCAAGUUACAUGCUUCUUUAUUUUUAAAAUUUUUUUUACGAUGAUUCUUUGGAGGCCAAACCUUAACUGAACCAAAAACAAAUUGCAUUAAAUGAAUGCGUACUUUGUUAUUUGGUUUAUGUUCAGACAGCAUUGGAUGAUCUUCUGGCUAAAUUACUUUCAUACAGCAGAUACCAUUAGAUGGAAUGGAUCAGUGUUCUCUUUUUUUAGGUGAUUCUGAAUUUAAGCUCACAGUAUGUGAUCAUCUUGUAUUAAUCAUGCAAAUUUUAAGAGGUUUUAACCUGUUUGAGAUGUGUGACCCUCUUGGAUCUGGAUAUGUGGACAGUCCCCCUUUUUG
rnacentral:misc_RNA from 1 species